rnacentral:rRNA from 1 species
AACGAACGCUGGCGGCAUGCCUAACACAUGCAAGUCGAACGAGACCUUCGGGUCUAUUGGCGCACGGGUUCGUAACGCGUGGGAACCUUCCCUCAUGUUCGGCAUACCUCUCCGAAAGGGGUGCUAAUACCGGAUAGUAUCUUCUGCCCAAGGAUUUAUUGCCGUUGGUUGGUCCCGCGUUGAAUUAGCUAGUUGGUAGGGUAAAAGCCUACCAAGGCGACGAUGCAUAGCUGGGAUGAGAGGAUGAUCAGCCACACUGGGAGUGAGACACGGCCCAGAAUCCUACGGGAGGGAGCAGUGGGGGAUAUUGGACAAUGGGCGAAAGCCUGAUCCAGCACGGACGCGUGAGUGAUGAAGGCAUUAGGGUUGUAAAGCUCUAUUAACCGGGAAGAUAAUGACAGUACCGGGAGAAUAAGCUCCGGCUAACUACGUG